rnacentral:rRNA from 1 species
UACGUAGGGUGCGAGCGUUGUCCGGAAUUACUGGGCGUAAAGGGCGCGUAGGCGGCCUUCUAAGUCAUGCGUGAAAUCCCCGGGCUCAACCCGGGAACUGCGUCUGAUACUGGAAGGCUCGAAUCCGGGAGAGGGAUGUGGAAUUCCAGGUGUAGCGGUGAAAUGCGUAGAUAUCUGGAGGAACACCGGUGGCGAAGGCGGCAUCCUGGACCGGCAUUGACGCUGAGGCGCGAAAGCCAGGGGAGCAAACGGG